CCUACGGGAGGCAGCAGGCGCGCAAACUUUACAAUGCGAGCAAUCGUGAUAAGGAAACCCUGAGUGCCUGUCGAUGCAGGCUGUUCAUAUAUCUAAAUCAUAUGUGAAGAAAGGGCAGGGCAAGACCGGUGCCAGCAGCCGCGGUAAU
rnacentral:rRNA from 1 species